rnacentral:rRNA from 1 species
AUGGACCAUUCCAUCCCUUAUCCCCAUGGCUAUGCAACAGAAUCGGAUGCCGAAGGUCCCAAUGAACAAGUUGAUGAGGAGGUGUUCACGGUGAAGGAGGCCAAAGCUUUCGAGAAGGUAUUCGGGCGGGAUCAUCAGACUACAUUGUUCAAGGAUGUUAGUCUUGCGGAUGAAGCCGUGGUAGAUGGUGGCCAAGGUAUAUCUCUUGGUGUUAGGCCAAGAUCUCGCAGUGAUUUGGAAGACAUCAAGAACGGGAUUACUCGCGGGCCUAAGUUCGAAACCUUCUUGGAAUUGAAGAAGUGGCUAGACAACUACUUGGUUACACAUUAA